GAAGACCCGGUUCUGACCCGGUUUGGUUGGAGUUGAAGACCCGGUUCUGACCCAGUUCGGUUGGAGUUGAAGACCCGGUUCUGACCCGGUUUGGUUGGAGUUGAAGACCCGGUUCUGACCUGGUUCAGUUGGAGUUGAAGACCCGGUUCUGGUCCAUUUUGCCCGGAGCAGAGCUGCAGCUGUGUGUCGGUGUGACCCAUAAGAACCUCUAACUGUUGGAAAACACAGAACCAUGAAUCUGUUAUUUCCUGCAGUUAUAAUCACAUCAGCCUGAUGUCACUUCGGACCCGCCGGCGUCUUUCUGCACCAGUAACGUCCCAGUUUAAUCAGAUUGUGUGCUGGUAGAACAGCUCCACCAAAACUCUGAUCUGAAGAUUUGAGCAGAACUAACAAUUAUCCAACCAAAUGUAAUAAAAAUAUUCAAGCUAUAAAUCAGUUUUAAGUUUAAAACCACAGAGACUAUAAAUAACUAAAGUUUUAUGAUUAAUGAGCGACAAGCAUGACCAGGAGGCCGUUGGUGACUGGAUGUCACUUUGUUAUAAAAAUGAUACUUUCUGUAGCUUUGAGUAAUUUGACGGGUCGGCCUGGUCGCUGGGACACCGUGAAGAUAAUCACUGAUUGGUGAUGUGAUCAGUGAGCAGCAGCUUCCGAGUGGAAACCAGCAGCUGAUUGUUUUAUCCGUCAUCCUCACCGGUACUGCAGGGCGUCUCCAUGGAGAUAAAGAGUCCAAUUAGGCUGCAGGAAGAACUUCCUGGUGUUGUAGCAAAUUCAGUUUCCUCCUUUUCUUAGUCGACCUUUCCUCAGUUUCCUAAAAGAAACGUUUUGUUUGAUGAAUGUCUUCACUCUGAUGUAAACAGUUCUAUUAAUUUAAAUAUAAUAUAAGAUUAUAUGACAAGGAAUCAUUAAAAACAGGAAUUAGCUGCACAACUGAGACAUUAGAAAAACACAACAUGUUAUUGUUUGUUAGUGUGACUGACUGUUACUGGGAGCCAAUAAUGAAUCUUAUCACAUUUACAACCAAACAGAUGUAGGAACAAAAACAAAUUGAAAAUUAUUUUUGCAAUCCUAACUGAUUUCAGGUCAGGCAGUGAGCAAAAAGGUCAGAUUUCAUUUUGAUCCGAUGUCUGGACAUAAUAAAGCCAUAAUAAAGACAAUAAAUGCAUAAUAAAGACAAUAAUAAUAAAGCUGCGAUAAACAACAUUAUGAGUGUGAACGUUGUGACAUUUUGUCUGUUGAAACUUCCUCAGUGUUAAAAUCGACCACAAGCCUGUUGCUGCUGUUGUCUGUUCAGAACCGCCCCGGUUGUUCAGAACCGGGGCGGUUCUGAACAUGAGCGUCUGGACCCGGAGCCCGCCGCUGUCUGGAAAUAUUCUGCUCACUUCCUGUCUCCUCCUGCCUGUCUGUAGAGUUAGUUGAUGUGCGGCGUGUCGGCCAUUAGCCACGCCGCGCCGCCGCCUGCUGAACCCCAGGCUGCUUCAGACAACAGGACACGACUCGCCCUGAAAACCCGACUUACUUGUUUCAACAGCUGGUUCUGACAGCGGGGCCUCUGCAUGGAGAAGAAGUGAAAGUUUACAGAGAUGUGGGUUUAAAUGCAGGGAGGACUGAAACCACUACUGCACCUCUGGUGGUCAGUUCCAGAAAGUCUGACGUUGAGGAGGAAGAAGAGAAAUGGACGUGUUUGCAUCAACAGUCGAAGCUAAAAGUUUGCAUUUCUGGCUCAAAGUGUUUAUAGUAGAAAAGUGUGUGGGAGUUCGAAGAUUUGGAAAGAAUUUUCUGUCCUCAAGCUUAUGACUCAAACUCUGCCUUCAUAAAAUAAAUGUAAUUAAGCAGAAAAAAAAGAUUAAAAGUUGAAGAAAAAAUAUCUGAAGCACAACUUCUGGAAUGAUCUUUGACCUCUGGUGAGGUGAAGGAAACUUAGCAGAGCCUCCAGUUUAUUUGUGUUUUUCAGCAACACGAAGCAUCUGGGACAGAAAACGGAGAAAACAUUUUGGUUGUUGUGGUAAAAAGUUUGAACUCUCAGGCUGAAGAAACUUGUAAUUCCUGUUCUUAGAUACUUAAAAAAAAACAUUACGCAACAUUCAAAUGUAAAUAUAAACUGAGUCUAAACAUAAUGUGAAGCAUAACAUUUUUAUAAAAAGACGUAUUUGGAUGAAGCUUAAGGAAAUAGAAGUGAUAAAGCAGAGUAGCAUCAAACUGUUUCCUGGAUGUAAUCCCAGACGGAUCCGUCUGUCAUUCAAGAUUAAGUUCAACUUUAUUUAUAAAUCCCAUUCAAAACAGCUGCUGUACCCAAGUACUGCUCAUAAAAACAGAAAUAAUAAGAAUAUACAGGGGAGAAAAAUAAAACAAGAAUAUUGAAAACAUUAAGACAAGAAAGAUGAAAAAUUCAACUAAAAGCAGCAGGAAACGUUUCAUGGUCUGGAUCAGUUUCUCUGUGUUUUAGGAGUUUCCUGUCUGACCUGAAUAAAGUGAUGAAAGGAUUCAGCAGCUCUGGACGUCAUGCAUAGCAGGUCAUGCAGUUCUGCAGCAGAGACACAUGCAACACGCAGGCAGGGCUGGAGAAACACCCAACCAGAGAUAAAAGCAUCAGGAGGCGAGAACAGCGGCCUGUUGGCUGCUGGUGGCAGCUGCUCAUCGUGGAGCCGGGAUCUGAGCUCCAUCCGUCUGGUGAGCUUCCCAUGGACGUCACCGGCUUCUAAUGCAGCUGAUUAAAACC